AUUGAACGCUAGCGGCAUGCUUAACACAUGCAAGUCGAACGAGUGGCGGACGGGUGAGUAAUAAUUGGGAAUGUACCCUAUGGAGGGGGAUAACUACUCGAAAGUGUGGCUAAUACCGCAUCCCAUUGGAUCCGCCCAUGUGGGAUUAGCUAGUUGGUGGGGUAAAGGCGCACCAAGGCCACGAUCUCUAGCUGGUCUGAGAGGAUGACCAGCCACACUGGGACUGAGACACGGCCCAGACUCCUACGGGAGGCAGCAGUGGGGAAUAUUGCACAAUGGGGGCAAGCCUGAUGCAGCCAUGCCGCUUGUAUGAAGAAGGCCCUAGGGUUGUAAAGUACUUUCAGUCGGGAGGCGUUACCGACAGAAGAAGCACCGGCUAACUCCGUGCCAGCAGCCGCGGUAAUAC
rnacentral:rRNA from 1 species